AUUUGAAUCACCUGGGGAUGUUGUUAAAAUGUUAAUUCUGAUUCAGUAGGUCUGGGUGGGGCCAAGUCUCUGCAUUUCUUUCAAGGUUCCCAGGUGAUGGGGAU
rnacentral:pre_miRNA from 1 species